CCUACGGGAGGCAGCAGUGGGGAAUAUUGGGCAAUGGGCGCAAGCCUGACCCAGCAACGCCGCGUGAAGGAAGAAGGCUUUCGGGUUGUAAACUUCUUUUAUGAGGGACGAAAGAAAUGACGGUACCCCAUGAAUAAGCCACGGCUAACUACGUGCCAGCAGCCGCGGUAAUACGUCGGUGGCAAGCGUUAUCCGGAUUUACUGGGUGGAAAGGGCGUGUAGGCGGGACUGCAAGUCAGAUGUGAAAAUUAUGGGCUCAACCCAUAACCUGCAUUUGAAACUGUAGUUCUUGAGUGAUGGGGAGGCAGGCGGAAUUCCGUGUGUAGCGGUGAAAUGCGUAGAUAUACGGAGGAACACCAGUGGCGAAGGCGGCCUGCUGGACAUUAACUGACGCUGAGGCGCGAAAGCGUGGGGAGCAAACAGGAUUAGAUACCCUUGUAGUC
rnacentral:rRNA from 1 species